rnacentral:rRNA from 1 species
AGUGAACGCUGGCGGUAGGCCUAACACAUGCAAGUCGAACGGCAGCACAGUAAGAGCUUGCUCUUACGGGUGGCGAGUGGCGGACGGGUGAGGAAUACAUCGGAAUCUACUUUUUCGUGGGGGAUAACGUAGGGAAACUUACGCUAAUACCGCAUACGACCUACGGGUGAAAGCAGGGGAUCUUCGGACCUUGCGCGAUUGAAUGAGCCGAUGUCGGAUUAGCUAGUUGGCGGGGUAAAGGCCCACCGAGGCGACGAUCCGUAGCUGGUCUGAGAGGAUGAUCAGCCACACUGGAACUGAGACACGGUCCAGACUCCUACGGGAGGCAGCAGUGGGGAAUAUUGGACAAUGGGCGCAAGCCUGAUCCAGCCAUACCGCGUGGGUGAAGAAGGCCUUCGGGUUGUAAAGCCCUUUUGUUGGGAAAGAAAAGCAGCAGGUUAAUACCCCGCUGUCCUGACGGUACCCAAAGAAUAAGCACCGGCUAACUUCGUG